rnacentral:rRNA from 1 species
GGAAUGCGAGUGCCUAGUGGGCCACUUUUGGUAAGCAGAACUGGCGCUGUGGGAUGAACCAAACGCCGGGUUAAGGAGCCCGAUGCCGAUGCUCGUCAGACCCUAGAAAAGGUGUUGGUUGAUGUAGACAGCAGGAUGGUGGCCAUGGAAGUCGGAAUCCGCUAGGGAGUGUGUAACAACUCACAUGCCAAAUCAACUAGCCCUGAAAAUGGAUGGCACUGGAGCAUCGGGCCCAUACCCGGCCGUCGCUGGCAGUCAAGAGUGGACGGGAGCAGCGGGGGUCGGCACGCGUGGGGGUGUAGCGUGUGGGGGGUCUCCCAUCCUCCUCCUCCCCCCCGCCCGCCCCCGGAGCCCCGCGGACGCUACGCCACGAUGAGUACAAGGGCCGCUGCGGUGAGCCUUGAAGCCUAGGGCAUGGGUCCGGGUGGAGCCGCCGCAGGUGCAGAUCUUGGUGGCGGUAGCAAAUAUUCAAACGAGAACUUUGAAGGCCGAAGUGGAAAGGGUUCCAUGUGAACAGCAGUUGAACAUGGGUCAGUCGGUCCUGAGAGAUGGGCGAGCGCCGUUCCAAAGGGACGGGCGAUGGCCUCCAUUACCCUCAGCUGAUCGACAGGGAGUCGGGUUCAGAUCCCCGAAUCCAGAGUGGCAGAGAUGGGCGCCACGAGGCGUCCAGUGCGGUAACACGACCAAUCCUGGAGAAGCCAGCGGGAGCCCCGGGGAGAGUUCUCUUUUCUUUGUGAAGGACAGGGCGCCCUGGAAUGGGUUCACCCCGAGAGGGGCCCGUGCCUUGGAAAGGGUCGUGGUUCCGGCGGCAUCUGGUGAGCUCUCACUGGCCCUUGAAAAUCUGGGGGGAGAGGGUGUAAAUCUCGCGCUGGGCCGUACCCAUAUCCGUAUCAGGUCUCCAAGGUGAACAGCCUCUGGCAUGUUGGAACAAUGUAUGUAAGGGAAGUUGGCAAGCCGGAUCCGGAUCCGUAACUUUGGGAUAAGGAUUGGCUCUAAGGGCUGGGUCGGUCGGGCUGGGGCAUGAAGCAGGACUGGGCAGGCGUCGCGGCUGGACGAGGCACCGCCACCGCACCCCACACCUGGGGCACCCCCUUCGCGGCCCUCCCCCACCCCACCCCGCGGGCCUCUCGCUCCCUCGCCCGCGCCCUCUCUCCCCAUCUCCUCCCCGGAGGUGCGGGGGGAAGGGUUGGGCGGAGGGGCGGCGGCAGCCGCGGGGCCCCAGCGGAGGGGGCACGGUCCCCCGCGGGGGGGGCCCAGGCACCUGGGGGGCCGGCGGCGGCAGCGACUCUGGACGCGAGCCGGGCCCUUCCCGUGGAUCGCCCCAGCUGUGGCGGGUGUCGUGGCCACCCCCGGGGAGCCCAGCGGGUGCCGGUGUGCCCCGCUCGCUCUGCCCUCGCGUGUGUCCGUGGGGGCGGGAAACGGUUGGGCGUUGGCAGGCGGCGGGUGGGGGUUCGUACUCCCGCCUCCCCCCCGGCCCGUCUGCCCCCGUUCUCCCCCCUUACUGCGCGGCGGUGGCAGCAGCGGGCCGCCGGCCAGUCCCCCCUGCUGGGUCCGCCCCCAGGGCCGCGGUUCCGUGCAGUGCCUUGCCUCAGCCAGCGCGUAGGAGCCGACUUAGAACUGGUGCAGACCAGGGAAAUCUGACUCUUUAAAACAAAGCAUCGCUAGGGCCCACGGUGGGUGUUGACGCGAUGUGAUUUCUUCCCAGUGCUCUGAAUGUCAAAGUGAAGAAAUUAAAUGAAGUGCGGGUAAACGGCGGGAGGUAACUAUGACUCUCUUAAGGUACCCAAAUGCCUCGUCAUCUAAUUAGUGAUGCACAUGAAUGGAUGAACGAGAUUCCCACUGUCCCUACCUAUUAUCCAGCGAAACCACAGCCAAGGGAACGGGCUUGGCGGAAUCAGCGGGGAAAGAAGACCCUGUUGAGCUUGACACUAGUCUGGCACGGUGAAGAGACAUGAGAGGUGUAGAAUAAGUGGGAGGCCCCCGCCGCCACCCCGUCCCCGCGAGGGGGCGGGGCGGGGUCCGCCGGCCUUGCUAGCCGCUGGUGAAAUACCACUACUCUGAUCGUUUUUUCACUGACCUGGUGAGGCGGGGGGGGGCGAACCCCGAGGGGGUCUUGCUUCUGGCGCCAAGCGCCCGGCCGCAUGCCAGCCGGGCGCGGCCUGCUCUGGGGACAGUGCCAGGUGGGGAGUUUGACUGGGGCGGUACACCUGUCAAACGGUAACACAGGUGUCCUAAGGCGAGCUCAGGGAGGACAGAAACCUCCCGUGGAGCAGAAGGGCAAAAGCUCGCUUGAUCUUGAUUUUCAGUAUGAAUACAAACCGUGAAACCGGGGCCUCGUGAUUCUUCUGACCUUUUGGGUUUUAAGCAGGAGGUGUCAGAACAGUUACCACAGGGAUAACUGGUUUGUGGCGGCCAAGUGUUCAUAGUGACAUCACUUUUUGAUCCUUCGAUGUGGGCUCUUCCUAUCAUUGUGAAGCAGAAUUCACCCCAGCGUUGGAUUGUUCACCCACUAAUAGGGAACAUGAGCUGAGUUUAGACCGUCUUGAGACAGGUUAGUUUUACCCUACUGGUGAUGUGUUGUUGCCAUGGUAAUCCUGUUCAGUAUGAGAGGAACCGCAGGUUCAGACAUUUGGUGUAUGUGCUUGGCUGAGGAGCCAAUGGGGCAAAGCUACCAUCUGUGGGAUUAUGACUGAACGCCUGUAAGUCAGAAUCCCGCCCAGGCGGAAGAUAUGGCAGUGCCGCGGAGCCUUGGCCUCGGAUAGCCGGUCCCCUGCCUGUCCCCGCUGGUGGGCCACCUCGCCUCGCGGGGGGGUGCCCCGCUGUGCGCCGGGACCGGGGUCCGGUGCAGAGUGCCCUUCUCCUGGGAAACGGGGUGCGGCCGGAAAGGUGGCCGCCCCCUCGCCCAUCAUGCAAUGCACGUUCGUGAGGAACCUGGUGCUAAACCAUUCGUAGACGACCUGCUUCUGAGUCGGGGUUUCAUAGGUA